AAUGUUCUUUUAAAUGAAAGAAGUUGCAUUUGAUACUACCACACACAUUAUGUUGUUAAAUAUCUACAGCAUGAUAAAAUCAUUCCAAAUGUCACCAAUCCCUGGGGGACUUAUUAAUAAUUAAGCAUUUUUAGUUCACUUAGGAAUGCAGAUUCCAUUUAACAGGAAAAUACACACUAAAUCUGUCCAUUAUACUGCAGCUUUCAACAGAAUGUGUUCGAGAUCUCAGCUGGGUUUCCCCAGGACAGAUGACAAAGUUAAUGCAGGUCUUUCCUAAAGCAGCACCCUGAAUUUGUGUUUAUUAGGAGUGUUUAUUAGAGUGACUAAUAAUGGAAGGAAGACGACUUGACAAGUGUUGGGGAGAGCUGAGAGGAGCCUAGAGGAGACUGGAUGAUCCUGAAGAAUGUAGGGCGGAACAGAGACUCAGGGUGUGAGGCCCACCGAAGAAGAUUCCUUUUGAAGAUGAUCAAGGAGACAAAGGGAGAGAGAGAUUUGUGUUUCAACGCAAAAUGUUAUUCUUCUGCCAAGGAUUGCUGUAUCAUCACAUUAACAAUAAGAUAAACAAACGACAAAAAUUCACUGAGAACAAUAAGCGGUGGUAAUUGCAUAUUCUUGUCCCAGGUAUUUCCUUUUUGUUCUCAAUUAAAAAGCAUUCCCAGCAGUUGUGUAUGCUGUAUCAUUUGUUCACCUUAAAUAAAUACUUUUGAAUCUAAAAAUAUAAGCA
rnacentral:lncRNA from 1 species